CUUAACACAUGCAAGUCGAGGGGCAGCAUGGUCUUAGCUUGCUAAGGCCGAUGGCGACCGGCGCACGGGUGAGUAACACGUAUCCAACCUGCCGUCUACUCUUGGACAGCCUUCUGAAAGGAAGAUUAAUACAAGAUGGCAUCAUGAGUCCGCAUGUUCACAUGAUUAAAGGUAUUCCGGUAGACGAUGGGGAUGCGUUCCAUUAGAUAGUAGGCGGGGUAACGGCCCACCUAGUCUUCGAUGGAUAGGGGUUCUGAGAGGAAGGUCCCCCACAUUGGAACUGAGACACGGUCCAAACUCCUACGGGAGGCAGCAGUGAGGAAUAUUGGUCAAUGGGCGAGAGCCUGAACCAGCCAAGUAGCGUGAAGGAUGACUGCCCUAUGGGUUGUAAACUUCUUUUAUAAAGGAAUAAAGUCGGGUAUGCAUACCCGUUUGCAUGUACUUUAUGAAUAAGGAUCGGCUAACUCCGUGCCAGCAGCCGCGGUAAUACGGAGGAUCCGAGCGUUAUCCGGAUUUAUUGGGUUUAAAGGGAGCGUAGAUGGAUGUUUAAGUCAGUUGUGAAAGUUUGCGGCUCAACCGUAAAAUUGCAGUUGAUACUGGAUAUCUUGAGUGCAGUUGAGGCAGGCGGAAUUCGUGGUGUAGCGGUGAAAUGCUUAGAUAUCACGAAGAACUCCGAUUGCGAAGGCAGCCUGCUAAGCUGCAACUGACAUUGAGGCUCGAAAGUGUGGGUAUCAAACAGGAUUAGAUACCCUGGUAGUCCACACGGUAAACGAUGAAUACUCGCUGUUUGCGAUAUACAGCAAGCGGCCAAGCGAAAGCGUUAAGUAUUCCACCUGGGGAGUACGCCGGCAACGGUGAAACUCAAAGGAAUUGACGGGGGCCCGCACAAGCGGAGGAACAUGUGGUUUAAUUCGAUGAUACGCGAGGAACCUUACCCGGGCUUAAAUUGCAGAUGAAUUACGGUGAAAGCCGUAAGCCGCAAGGCAUCUGUGAAGGUGCUGCAUGGUUGUCGUUAGCUCGUGCCGUGAGGUGUCGGCUUAAGUGCCAUAACGAGCGCAACCCUUGUUGUCAGUUACUAACAGGUCAUGCUGAGGACUCUGACAAGACUGCCAUCGUAAGAUGUGAGGAAGGUGGGGAUGACGUCAAAUCAGCACGGCCCUUACGUCCGGGCUACACACGUGUUACAAUGGGGGGUACAGAGGGCCGCUACCACGCGAGUGGAUGCCAAUCCCCAAAACCUCUCUCAGUUCGGACUGGAGUCUGCAACCCGACUCCACGAAGCUGGAUUCGCUAGUAAUCGCGCAUCAGCCACGGCGCGGUGAAUACGUUCCCGGGCCUUGUACACACCGCCCGUCAAGCCAUGGGAGCCGGGGGUACCUGAAGUGCGUAACCGCGAGGAGCGCCCUAGGGUAAAACUGGUGACUGGGGCUAAGUCAUAAC
rnacentral:rRNA from 1 species